rnacentral:lncRNA from 1 species
AUGGUUACUAUCUUUGAUUGUAUCCAUGUUUUGAUCUUUAUUCUUGAAUUUUGCUUCAAAAUUGGUUAUUAUAGAGUAUUAUUGAUCUUGGAUAAACUGUUAUACGAAUCCUUACUAUUUGUCCUUCUGUCUCACUAGAUUCGUUUUCUUUAAAAUAUUUUUCAUCAUCCUCAGUCCUAAAUGAUGAUAUUACUGAAUAUCUUUGGCCUGUAGUGCAAAGAUGAAUGAUUAACUGAUGAAUAUCUUUGGCCUGUAGUGCAAAG